CCUGCCAGUGAACUUAUUUCAACGGCCGCGGUAUCCUAACCGUGCAAAGGUAGCGUAAUCACUUGUCCUUUAAAUAAGGACCCGUAUGAAUGGCUAAUUGAGGGUGACACUGUCUCAUACGAUUAAUCAAUGAACCUGAUCUCCCAGUACAAAAGCUGGGAUAAAACCACAAGACGAGAAGACCCUGUGGAGCUUAAAGCCAAAAUACUGACUCACCCUAAAACAGUGUUAGCCUUAAGUUGGGGCAACUACGGAGAAAAACAGAACCUCCGCGAUAAAGGAGCUUAACACCGCCAAGGGGGACACCCCAAAAAGUGCUGCCCCUUAUGACCCAGUAAAACUGAGUGCCGAACCAAGUUACCCCAGGGAUAACAGCGCCAUCCCCCUCAAGAGUCCACAUCAACAGGGGGGCUUACGACCUCGAUGUUGGAUCAGGACACCCAGGUGGUGCAGCCGCUACCAAUGGUCCGUUUGUUCAACGGCUAACGUCCUACGUGAUCUGAG
rnacentral:rRNA from 1 species